GUUGUUGUUGUUGUUUUGCCUCUAG
rnacentral:miRNA from 1 species